rnacentral:ncRNA from 1 species
CAUAAUUCUAAACGAAUUAGAAUUCAUUUUAAAAUCAAUUAAUUAUUCUAUGUUUUGCCAGUUUCAAAGAUAAAAAUUAUCUUUGGAGUUUUAUUUUUAAAAAUUUUGUAUAUUAAUAAUCUAAAGGCAAAAUUGUAGCAAGAUGAAUUGAUAGUUGGGGAAAUUCAGAGUCAGUUAUUUAAAAUAAUAAUAAUAUAGAUUGUGCCAGCAAUUGCGGUUAUACAUUCAUUAUGAUAAAAUUAUUUUGGUAAAUAAUAAAAUAUAAUUUUAAUAAAAGAAUAUUUAUUAUUGGGUGAAAUCAAAAUAUAAAAGAUAUUAAGAGUUGAUUUAUUAAAUUUGGUGUUAAACUAGGAUUAGAUACCCUAUUAUAAGAAUGUAAAAUUUUUCCUUAUUAGUAACAGUUAAUCUUGAAAAUAAAAGUUUUUGGCGGUUUAUUAUUCUAUUUAGAGGAACCUGUUGUUUAAUUGAUAGUCCACGUUUAUAAAUUCUUUAUUUUUUUUUGUAUAUCGUCGUGUAAGAUAUAUUUUUAUAUAAUAUCUAAUAUUUAAUAAAAGGAAAGUCAGAUCAAGGUGCAGAUUAUAAUAAAGUUUAAAUGGGUUACAAUGAAUUAAUUUGCUGAUUGUUUAAAUAAAAUUUAAUGAUGAUGGAUUUAAAAGUAAUAGGAAAAAUAUAUUUUUUGUGAAGUUGGCUCUAAUAUUUGUACAUAUCGCCCGUCAUUCUCAUUUGGGACAAGUCGUAACAUAGUUGAUGUACUGGAAAGUGUAUCUAGGAAGUU